UACUAAAGUAAUGUUUAGUACAAUAUCGACUCUGUCGAAUAAAGUUUUGGGUAAAUUUAUGAUAAUGACAUUGUUUACCUAGAUGUCUUGACCAAAUUAUGUGCCAGCAGUCGCGGUAAUACAUAGAAGACAAGUGUUAUUCAUCUUUAGUAGGUUUAAAGGGUACCUAGACAGUAAAUCAAGCCCCUGCUAAGUAGGACGGUACUAAUUUUCUAGAGUUACUUACAAGGGGGCUCUUAAGUACUAAUGGUGUAGAGAUAAAAUUUUGUGAUACCAAUUUUAGAAAUAAAAGUUAUGGCACUGGUAAAGGCGAAAGCAUCCCCUUAUGUGAUAACUGACGUUGAAGGACGAAGGCUUUGAGUCGCGAAUAGGAUUAGAUACCCUAGUAGUCUAAGCAGAGAAUUAUGAGUGUCAUAGAUUAGAUAUUUUCGUUUAUUCUAUAAAUGAAAGUGUAAGCACUCCACCUCAAGAGUAAUUUGGCAACAUUGGAACUGAAAUCAUUAGACCGUUUCUGAAACCAGUAGUGAAGUAUGUUGUUUAAUUUGAUAAUCCGCAAAACACCUUACCACAAUUUGAAUAAAGGUAUAACUUAUACUUUUACAAGCGUUGCACGGCUGUCUACAGUUAAUGUCGUGAGACUUUGGUUAGAUCCAUUAAAUUAACGCAAGCCCUUACUUUAUUUUUAAAUAAAGUUGUUCCCCACUAUAUCGGAUAUGAUAACAGGGACU
rnacentral:rRNA from 1 species